rnacentral:ncRNA from 1 species
UCAAGGUACUUUUGAGUAGUUGAAAAGGGAAUUUGGUGAAAAUCCAAAGCUGUCCUCGCAACUGUAAGUGCCACGAAACGGACAGACCACUGUACCAUAAUGUAUGGGAAGGGUCCGUAGUAGGAAAAGCACAAGCCAGUAGACCUGCCUUGAUUCG